rnacentral:tRNA from 1 species
GCCUGGAUAGCUCAGCCGGUAGAGCAUCAGACUUUUAAUCUGAGGGUCCAGGGUUCAAGUCCCUUUUCAGGCG